CAGAAAGGAGGACUGCAUCUAAAGAUGUCUGAAGUGGUUGCUGAGAAAGAUGUCGUCUCUGCACAAACACGUCUGUGUCCUCAGAUGAGGUAUGCGAUCGUGACUUCCUCUUCAUCACUAAUCGCUCUCAUGUGUUCAUCUUCAGAUCUCUGCACUGCUGUCUGAUCCACAACAGAGCUCCGCGGCCCCAAGAGACGCAUAAAAAAGCUGAACGAUAAGCACUUAUGGAUCACCAGAACAAACUCAAUUUCCCACAGCAUAAAAGUGUCAAACCAUUGACAAGAAUAAAGAUGGACGAAACAA